AAUCUCGCUCACUUCUGCAUGCCUCUCUCUCACUCGCACUCUCUCACAUUCUUCAAGAAUCGUUUUCUUUGCAUUUUCAAAAUUCACUUGAGCUUUGCUUGCAGACUUCACAAACGGACGCUCACCACUUAUUCUCAUCGAUCACUUUAGAAGCUAUUGCACCCUUCCCAAAUCCAACUGCUUCGAUUCUAAUCCCAACCAAUCACAGUUUGAUUUUCCCUUUCUCUAAUUUUUAUUUCUGACAUUAUUCUUUCUUUUCUGAAGGUCACCUUGUAUUAUUGGUGGUUGAUUAAAGCCAGAAAAACGACUUCCAAGGAAAGUGUUUAGUCGUCGCUAGUGUCUCAUCGAGAAAGGUCGUAUUGCCAAUGCAGAAUCCACAAAAUGGGGAAAAGUGGUGUCGGCCACAUUGGUGGCUGUGGUUAUUGCCUUCAGCUCUGACAUGUCAUCCCUUGCUGAUCUCAAUAAAUUUAAGGCUGAAAUGAGGGGUGAAUUUGGAAUAGGAUCGACUGCAUAGUUUGGCUAUGUAGACCUCAAGCUUGUUCUGUUUCCUUCAUUCUACUUUACUAUCUUCUUUCGGGUUAUGAACUAUUAUGGGAAACAACAAUAAUAAUUGAAUUGGGAUCCUUUAUUGUUGUGUAGGAAAACAGUGCAUGUCAAUGAAAAUUUCAUGUAAUGUUUUGUUUCAAUUGGCCGUGUUAUAAUAAAAAAAAUUACAUAUGCAACAUUCAUCUUUCCCUGUUCCUUUAGUCGAUGUUCCUUUUUUCGUUGUUUCUAUUGUACAUCAUAUAUAGGUACAAGUAUGAGUUGGCUCGACACCAUAGUUUUCAUUCUUUUAAUGCAACCUUGUCAAAAAGAUUAUACUUCUCUAGUGUAAACAUUCCAAACUCAAGAUUUUUCAAUUUUGUAAUAUUUUUCAGCAUCCAUUGGUCCCUCAAAUUGAUGUUUUACUUGAGUUCUGAAUUAUCGAUUGUAGUACUGGAGGCACUACUUGUCAGAUGCAAGUAUUGAACUCAUAAGCAUACUAGGAAACUAGCUAAAUUCUUCUAUGCAGUUAACGUAUAAGUGUAUUUCAAAUUAACAUGAGUUAAGCAUAGUAGAACAAUGCUACUUCAAUUUAUUCUAAAUUGUCACUUCAUAGCAAAUUAUGGAAUCUAAUAAUGUAUAAAUUUGGAGUCCUCUAUUCAUAAUCAUUCUAAAUGAAUGAUAUAGAAGAGCUAACAUUUUUGGUGAAAAACACCAAGAUCGUCCUCUAUUCAUAUGAAGUGUUUAUGGAAAACUUUAUCCAAACAGGACGAUCUUGGUGUUUUUCACCUUUCCCUUUCUAUUUGAUAAGCCUUAUUUUAAAAUUUUGGUAAUCAUAUGAUGUCUAUAGUGAUCUUGUAAGAGUCAAUGUUUAUGGUGGUUAUUGUUCCUCCUUUUAUUAUGUAUAGUUUGUAUGUUAUUUCAAUUUGAUAUUUUUUACUUGGUCCUCAUUUUUCUUGAUUAGUAGGUUUUCCAAUGUUUUUUAUUUGGCUUUCCUCUAGACUGGGAAAGCUAUGCUCUAGAUUGCUUCAGAGAAGAAUCUACCACUAGCACUGAUUUAGGUAGUGUUAUUCCUGAUAAUGUACCAACUAGUUCUCCAAAAAUUUUAUCUGAUGGUAAAUAUUCAAACAAUGUUUGUAAAUGAUUUGCAUUUAUGUUUAGUCAUUUCUUAUACUUGUUUGGUGUUUUAUCAUUUCCUAUCUAUCCAAUCUCUAUAUGGAUAUUUUAAUUGUUAUGGCGUGGAAAAUUGGUAAAUAUUUUAAUUGUGUAGCCAGCCCAGAAGUAAACAACUGAAAUUGCUUGUCCAUCCCUAUAAGUGCCAAGAAAUUAUUUUUCUCUAGUCAGAUACAAAAUGUAAUUAAGCUACAAACCUAUGGUAGAACGUCAGAUUUUCAAGAUAAAGGUUACAUACACAGAAAGUGUUCCAUUUGGCAGAAUUUCUCCUUCUUGAUCAAUUUUGGUCAACGUUUUGCGUAUGCUUCUAAUAUGAGCAGUGGAUGUGCUAAUUGUUCUAAUUAUCUAUUCAUGCAGUUUAUAUGCAGGUAGUUAUACAUAUUAAAAAAUAAAAAUCUUGGGGAGUAACUGCCCCCAAACCUCAAAACCUAGAUCUGUCCAUGUCCAUAAAAACAUUGUCCAUAGCUGUCUGUGGAUUUGAUUAAGCCAGACAUGAAACUAAUAGGAUAGAAGAGUAUUUCAUAAUUGGUGCUUAUAAAUAUUGAUCAUACUUGAAAUGGUACCUCCAAACAUAUAUUGUUAGGAACAGAUUUGGCAAGUUCUGCUUCAUCCAAUUUUGCUCUAUUUGUUGCAGAAAAGGCUUCAAUAUCUUCCAUGCUGGGGGAACCAGGCCUAUAGGCAAAACUCAACAAUUAAGCCAGGCAUCCCCUACUAAUUCCAACAAGUUCAGCAACAGAUUAAGCAUAAAUGGAAUAUUAAUUCGAGCCACAAAUUGCAUUGUGUGAAACACCAAAAGUAUGGCUAGAUGUAUUUUGUCAACCAGCAACUAUACGUGCUUAAACAAGAGUUGAAGCAAGGAAUAAAACUAGAGUUAUACCAAAUUGCAUCACAGUACUCAUCGCCACUUGAGCCACCUAAUAUACAAGUGGUAGCUGCACGUGUGAGAACCAAGGGGAGUUGUGCUGAUGCUGACACAAUUCCAUCAGCUAAAGAGCCUUCUAAUCUGCACGUUGACACUAUGGGCUUGUACGUAGUUCAUGACCAGUGUACUAAACUAGUUGCAUUGGGAAAAGUGUAUGAUAGUAUGUCGACCAUACACAAUGUCCCUUAUGCAGAUGAUGUGGUUAGGGUGAGUGUUGUCAAAGUUUACCACGGUGAUGCUCAGGUCCCUUUUUUGACAUCAGAGAUUCAAUUUGUGAGGCAGGUCGUUGGGACAUUCGUUGGGUGGCCGACACAUCUUGUGAAACCUGUAGCUAAUGAGGACUUACAAAUGUGUAUGCCGAAAAGGGUUACAUCUGCAGGAAUGGACACUUCAGUGCCUACAGUUGAUCCAUUGGGAGAAUUGGUUAAAAACCUUUUUGAUGUUUACCAAAAGCCAUUUGAGUUUCCAUGGGAUGGGGCGAAAUUUGGGAUUCCUAAUGUCAAAUAGGGUUUUUUCAUCACACACGCAAAUGUAACCAAGAUAAUUUUAGGUGACAAAUGUUUGAACAUAUCCAUACUAUAGUUGUGGACCAUGUUCAUGAAUGAUUGGAGCACAAGCUUAGGUUAUGGAUCACUGUAUGGUUUCCUUGAACCUCAGUGUAUACACAACACAAAGGACAAACGUCAAGAAUUUCAUCAAAACAUUCAAACAUGGGUCAAGGAAUCACAACGACAAGUGUACCUAGGAGCUUAUCUGAAUCAGACAAUAUUGUUAUUUAGUUGUGUUCUUUGCAUAAGAAGCCUGAUGUCAACAUCAAGGGUGCAAUUAACAGUGCAAUGAAGACAUUAACCAGUAGUUUGGAAGGAAAGGGAUAUCAAGUUGGACCUCGGUGGAUUGAACCAAAGAACAAUGAGUAGAUGUCAGGUCUGAAGCAUCUAGUAGAUGGAGCAAAGCAGCAUCACAAUGUGAAGUAGAUCCAGCAGUUUACACCCACCAGCAGAUUAUGAUACUGCAGGUCGUGCAAUUGGUGGAUGUCCUAUUUAUGUUAGUGACAAGCCAGACAAUGACAAUUUUGAUCUUCUGGUGACGGUCAUUCAGAUUUUGAUGCUUAUGCGCCAAAGGAUUUGCUUAUUGUGACAACGGGAUCUCAAGCAGAGCCACGUGCUGCCUUUAAUCUUGCAUAUUUUGGAAGUAGUCAUUCUUUCAAGCUGACAAAGGAAGAUAUUGUUUUGUAUUUAGCUAAGGUUAUCCCUGCUAAUGGGUCUCAUGUUAUGGAACUGCUAAACAACAUAUCAGAGAUUGGAUCAACUAUAGUUAUGGGGAAGAAUGAAUGUAUGCAUAUGUCUGGUCAUGGGUAUCGUGGAGAAUUAGAAAAUCCUGUAGCUGUUCUUGCUAAUGAGAUAAACACAAAGUUUUCUGGAAAGUUAAAUGUGGAUGGGAUGUCGACAUUGAGAAAAAUGGUGGAUGGACAUGAGAAAGAAAAUCAGAGAACCAAAAUGCAAAUAAGAGCGCAUAUAUGUUGUUGCAUACCUUGGUAAUGCUUAAUGAAUCCAACGGACCCACGACAUCAUCAACAAGGUCAAGUAAGUUUGCUUUUUGUGGCUCCGCAGGAUGCUCAGAAAGUCCAUAACCUCUAAAAUCAAAGGCAAUAGCCCGGUAGCCAGCAUUUGCUGCAGCAAUCAUCUAGUGCCUCCACGUAUACCAUAUUUCUUGGAAUCCAUGUAAGAAAACCAGUGCCUUUUGACUUGCACCAACAGAAUUAUCACUAAAAAAAAUCACACAUUUUAAGAUGGUUCUGCCAAGAACCGUCUAGUACAUUCUAAGAAGGUCUUGAUCCGUAUGGGUUUUUUUGUUGAAUAAUUUUUUUUCAAUUUUUCUUCUAAAUUUGUUUUUUUUUU